ACCCACUGAGGGAGAUGAGGAAACAGAGUUACGGCACCCUAGAGAAUGAGGGGCACCCAAUGCCAAAGCGCCAACAUACUGAGAAGAUGGGGAGGUAAACACAGAACAGACCCCGUCUGCUCUCUUUUAGCCCGUGGACUUCACGUGCUUGAUGAACCAGAACUCUGGGAGGCCAUUGCCUUGGCACAUGGAAUCCAAGGCUUAGCAAAAUUAAGGUGGCUAUCACUGGACAGCAUUUGUACUCCAAUAGCAUGCUGCUAGCCCCUGGCAGCCACCAUUCUACUGUCUGUUUCUAUGAAUUUGACUACUCUAGGUACCUCAUCCUGAGAUCUGAGCUCUACCGCUUUUCUCCUUAUGAACUCCAAGAGCACAGUACCAAAGGCAGCCCCUAGACAUUAGAAUUGCAAAAAAGGUCCAUCUUCCUCUUUCCAGUUAGAAGGACAGAAUUGAUAGCCAGGCCACUGCAUCCCCCAGCCUGUGCUUCAGUGUACAUCAGCGGAAGGAGCUGUGGGGUAAAGAUCCAAGCCAGGACACCACAUUACAUUGUUCUCAGGGCUCCUUUGGUUCCUGUUGACUAUGACCAUUUCUUAGAAUUACUUUGUUUUGAUGACCUUGACAAUAUUGAGGAGUACUGCUCAGGAAUAAUUUCGAUGUGACCCAGUGCAUCUUCUUUAGGAUCAUCACCAGGAAGCUGUGAGUGAUGUCACUGCCCUGAAUUGGUGAAGCACUGGGGUGUUUUUAUGCAGUUUAUGGUGGUGCUGCCUUCAUCCAGGCCUGUAAUUGGAAUCCUCAUGCUGUAGCUGCUCUGAGAAAAGAAAAAUCUAGAGAUAAAUGGAGUAGCAGAUCGGUGCCAAAUAUACUUUGAGGAUAACGGGAAGGUGAACACAGUGUGUCUUUCCAUCUGUGUUGUCUUCAAUUUCUUUCAUCAGUGUCAUAGUUUUCUGAAUACAGAUUUUUUACCUCCUCAGGCCCCUUAGCAUAUGGAAAUUCCAGGCCGAGGGAGAGAAUCUGAGCCAGAGUGCAACCUACACUGCAGCUACAGCAAUGUUGGAUCCUUAACCCACUGUGCCAGGCCAAGGAUCAAACUGGUGCCUCCACAGAGACAAGCCAGAUCAUUAACCCACUGUGUCACAGCAGGAACUCUAGGACUUUCUUCAAGGGUGAAUAAUGUUUCAUUGUAUGUAUAUGUGUGGCAGAGUGUGUGUAUGUGUUUGUGUGUGUUUGUGACAUCUUUGUUACCAUUCAUCCAUCAAAAGAUACUUAAUUUGUUUCCAUGCCUUAGCUAUUGUGAAUAAUUGCUGCAAUGAACAUAAGAGUACAGAUAUCUCUUCAAGAAUUAUUUUGUUUCCUGGAGUCCCUCUCGUGGCUCAGUGGUUAAUGAACUCGACUAGCAUCCAUGAGGACGCAGGUUUGACCCCUGGCUUCACCCAGUGGGUUAAGGAUCCAGCGUUGCUGUGAGCUGUGGUGUAGGUCGCAGACAUGGCUCAGAUCUGGUGUUGCUAUGGCUGUGGCAUAGGCCGGCAGCUGUAGCUCUGAUUGGACCCCUAGCCUGGGGACCUCCAUAUGCCACAGUUGCAGCAGUGAAAAGACAAAAAAAAGAAUUAUUUUGUUUCCUAAAAAUAGAGCUACUAUAUGAUCCAGCAAUCCUACUCCUGGGCAUAUAUCCAGAGAAAACUCUAAUUUGAAAAGAUACACGCACCUCAAUGUUCAUAGAAGCACUACGUACAAUAGCCAAGACAUGCAAGCAACCUAAAUGUCCAUUGACAGAUGAAUGGAUAAAGAAGAUGUGGUACAUAUAUACAAUGGAAUACUACUCAGCCAUAAAAGAGAAAUAAUGCCAUUUGUAGCAACAGGGAUGGACCUAAAGAUUAUCAUACUAAGUGAAGUAAGUCAUACAGAGAAAGUUAAACAUAUGGUAUCACUUAUAUGUAGAAUCUUUAAAAAAAUGAUAAAAAAGUGAUACAAAGGAACCUAUUUCCAAAAUAGAAAUAGACUUGCAGACAUAGAAAACCAACUUACAGUUUCCAAAAGGGAAAGGGGGGAGGGAUAAAUUAUUAGGAGUUUUGGAUUAACAGAUACACACUACUAUAUAUAAAAUAGGUAAACAAGGACCUACUCUCUAGCAUAGGGAACNAUUCAUUCAAUUCAAUAUUCUGAAUCACUUUGCUAUACACCAGAAGUAACACAACACUGUAAAUCAACUAUACUUCAAUAAAAAAGAAUUAUUUUGUUUCCUUUGGACAUAUACUCAGAAGUGAGAUUGUUGAAUCAUAUGGUAGUUCCAUUUUUAAUUUCUUGAGAAAUAUCCAUUCUGUUUUCCAUAGUGGCUGUGAUAGUUUACAUUCCUACGAGUAGUAUACAAGGGUUCUCUUUCCUCCACGUCCUCAAUAGCCUUUGUUAUCUCUUGCCAUUUGAUGAUAAACAUUCUAACAGGUGUGAGAUGAUAUGUAGUUGUGGCUUUGAUUUACUUUUCUCUCUUGGUUAGUGAUGUUGAGCACCUUUUCAUGAUGUACCCAUUAGCCAUCUGGGUUUCUUUUUUUGGAAAAAUGUCUAUUUAGUUCUUAUGCACAUUUAAAAAAUUAGAUUUUUUUCUUUUAUUUAUGUUUGUUCCUUUUAUUAUUAGGUUGUAUGUGUUGCAUAAAUUCUUUAUAUAUUUUUGAUAUUACUCCCUUAUUUGAUAAUGUGGUUUACAAAUAUUUUUUCCCAUUCCAUAAGUUGCCCUUUUAUUUUGUUGAUUGUUUCUUUUACAGUGCAAGAGCCUUUUAGUUUAAUGUAGUCCCACUUGUUGAUUUUUUGCUUUUGUUGCUUGUGUGUUUGGUGCCACAUCAAAAAAAAA
rnacentral:lncRNA from 1 species